rnacentral:lncRNA from 1 species
AAAAAAGAUCCCAUCAUGUCUAACAAACGAUCUGUCUGCAUUUUGUUACGAGAACUCGCCAAGCCAAUAGAUGACGCUGCUGUUAUGUAUAUCUGAGUGUGAUACUAUAUAGUACUAGUGAGCCAAGUUAGGCAUUACUUACUAUGCACUGAAUGGAGCUGUAUGCAUGCUACAGAGUGAUGAUGAAGUAAAGACUUUAUAAUCAACAUUACCUUGCUCUUGUAUAGAAUAAACACCAUUCAAAACAAACAUGGUGUCAGAAGUCAGAACCACAUAGGUAUAUCCUUGACGAAUCAAAAUAUCAAAACAACACAGGGAUAAAUGCACAGUAGGAAGGGACAAGCUAACCAGCUACACAAAAUAAUGACAACAAUGGCUUACCCAGUAAUUCCAGUACCAGAGCCUAUGGACAUGAAAGGCGAUACAUACAACAACUGGACAUUCUUUCCAGCGCAAUAGGAAAACUAUGAGAAAGCUACCGGUCUGGACUAAAAAGAAUACAAAGUCUGCAUAGCAACUCUGCUAAGUGUGAUGGGAAAGGAAUGACAUCUCUUACAGCGUCAUCUUCAUAUGCCCGAAGCAGAGAACUGACCCAGUAAAAAUGAUACAGAAACAGUUUGAGCAGCUGGGAGGGACUGCUGCGUGAGGACUGGGCCGCCUGUGAGUGCUUUGGGACGGGGUGGGGCCCACUGCAGCACCUGCUGCUCGUUGAGAAGAGAUCUCGGUGGGCGGAGCCGGGAGGGUGGUCAGUGAAAUGGGACACACAUGGGCUCGGGUGUGUCCCAGGAUAAAUGCACCUCUUCCCCAUUCAUUGAGGAAACUCUCUCCGUGCAGACACAGACGGAUUUUGGUUGUUCCAUUUUUUUUGUGGCUAUUUGGCUUAUUUGGUUUGUUUGCGUUGGCACCUUUCAACACCCCUAAUUCCCACAUGUAUACACGCGACCACUCAUUUACACUGCUGACUAAACACUCACCAUUGUUAAUUGUAUUUACUUUACUUCAGUUAAUAAAUAUAUUUUGUUAUUCUUUAUCUCCACGUUGUCUCACUUUUUGUUAUGGGCUUCGAGCCGGUUCGUGACAAGUGGGGGCUCGUCCAGGAUCCUAAGCUUGUUUGAGUUAUAAUGUUUGGUGUCCGGUACUGGUUUCGUUUGUUUGGUAAACUUGCCACUGCGGUGGAUAGUUCGUUGUGUUCUGCAUUGGAGAAAGUACAUUGGUUAGUUUCCAGGCCCCUGCCCAGGCUGAAGACUCCGGCUCUACUCGCUGUUGGGACAUCGGUCCAAGGAGCUGAAUUCAGAGGACCCGGACCCGUAAAUUCACCGUGAAGAUCUGAAGAACCAUGGAAAUAUAUUUUGCAGGCAUCGGCAGGCCACGGCACUCGCUCUGGCGCACUGCGGGGCAGAGGUCAUGGCUGUCACAAGCACGCAGGCUGACCUGGACAGCAUUCUGCUGGAGGUACCCCACCCCCUGCACCACCCGUUGCUUGCUCUAUUGUCCCUCUAUAGGACCUCCUCUCUACCAGCCCUAUACACAUACCAGAGGCUGACUAGUUUCCCCGCUGCUCUCUUCAUCUCCCUGGCCCAUUGUUUCUGCUCCGCUCCAUGACGAGAGAUGAGAGAUUCGUUGUGGUGAUUCUCCUGCUGUCCGUUCUCUCUGUGUGAUUGGUUCUGGUGGUCCGUUCUCUCUGUGUGAUUGGUUCUGAUGUCUGGUUCUGGUUGUUGCCUGCAGUGUCCAUCAAUCAGGCCAGUGUGUGUGGACCCAGGGAACUGGGGGGCCACAGAGGAGGCACUAUGGGAGGCUGUUGGUAACGUUGAUUUCCUGGUGAAUAAAGCAGCCUGCCCUUCCUAGAGGUUGCCCCCAACUAGUUUGGCAUGUAAAUAAGCUCUCUUCGCUGUCCUUUGAUUCAUUAUUGAUUCAAAUUAAAGUGAAACACAAGUCACUCAAGACAAGGUAUUAGACCUGUGUUUUAGACCUAGAGUACAUGUAUUAGACCUACAGUACAUGUUUUAGACCUGUGUUUUAGGUCUACAGUACAUGUAUUAGACCUGUGUAUUUAGACAUACAGUACAUGUAUUAGACCUGUGUUUUAGACCUACAUAAAGUACAGUGUAUUCGGAGAGUAUUCAGACUUUUUCCACAUUUCAUUACAUUACAGCCUUAUUCUAAAAUGGAUGAAAUGUUCUCCAAAGCAAUCUACACAAAAUGACAAAGCGAAAAAAGUUAAGAAAUUUUUGCAAAUGUAUAAAAACUGAAAUAACUGUGAUGGAACAUUUUAUGCUGGUUCUUUUCUAUUUACCAAUUUCUGUGUUCUAUAUUUGUGCUUUUCUAAUAACCGUUUUCUGUGUUUAUGCAAGUGACUGACUGAACGAACCCUCACUAUCAGUAUCUGCAGUUUGGCAGUACGUCCAGACCCUUGUUUUGAGAACGACAGAUAUCUGUUUCAAUGUCUCAGCUUAGAGAGAAGAAGCCGCAUGAGGUAUUGGUCUGUCACAUGCAUGACCCAGUACUGGUCAGUCACAUGAAUGAAGCAAACGUUAGUGAUGAAUUAAUUAUGAACGAAUAAGCUAAAUCAUGCAAAUAUAACUUGUCUGCAUAUAAGAGAACUAAC